UCCCACCGCACGGUAUCCAGGCACGACGAAGAUUUUUAGAAAGAAGAAACUUCUUCGCGGUCGACCAAACAUCACCGAUUCUUACAAGAGCGUUGCUGAACUCCCAUUUCUCCUCUCCUUUUCGAAUCUCUUAAACAGCAUCAUAAAACUUGAUUUCCUCUCUUCUUAAAAAGAAGAAAAAAACACGAAAUCGAACUUUUCAAUAACCAUCACACGUAUUGUUAUAGUUAUUGCUGUUAAUAAUUACCAAAAUCUGAGGGAGAUGGAUUGGGGAAACGUAACAGCAGAAGAUCUAAUCGGUGCGUUAAAGGAAGUAGAUUGGACAUCUCCGCCUCGUCCUCUUAAUGAAUUCUUCUCCAGAUUCACCAUUCCUCGUUCUUACUCGAAGUGGAGUAGCCGCCUCAAAUGCAAUGCCUACUACUAUCGGACAAAUUACUUCAUUUUGAUACUGCUUAUUCUUGGUGUUGCAUGUAUCUUAAGGCCACUGGCUAUUCUAGCCACUGCAUUGUCGGCUCUAAGCAUUGCUUUCCUUAAUGAUAGUUUUGCAGCUACUUUCAGUGAGAGAGUAACGAGAACUGUAAGGAAGUUCUCUCCACAUUUGGCAGCAAAAAUGAGGCCUCGGCAUAUGCCUGUUAUCCGUGGUCGUCCAUCAGCAAAAAAAUCUGUGUACAUUCUUGGCCAACCUCGUUUAUUGUUUGUCCUUUUAUUCUCAGCUGUCAGUUUUGUUUUGUGGUAUGCUUCUGGCAGUCUUUUGUAUAUUUCAUGGGCGCUCAUAAGUGGCCUUCUUGCCACUGUUCUCCAUGCAAGCUUCAAAACACCUAAUCUGAAAGCACGCCUCAACACAUUCCGUGAAGAAUUUCGUGCAGUCUGGCGUAAUUAUAGUGAUCUCUAACUCCCUGUUGGGUUAAAAGGAUGUCAGGGUCGUUGUGAAUCCUGCCCUGUAACCUUGUGUCUCAGUUAGGUUGCUUCGAAUGGCUUGGGGAUGGAGCUGCUUUACUGUUACAUUUUGGUGAUACUGCAAUGGUACCUUGUCGGGACCAGAUCACAAAUGGGGCGGUAGUUGGGGUUAUUGGCCUGUAAGCUCUAGACUUGUGGCCUGUGGUCUCCUGAAUACGAUGAACGAGAAGAACAAUCAUGACUGAAGAACGCACCGUGUCCAGCUAGGGAAAAUCAAAGGUUCAUAUUGGUCCUCUGUAAGAAUUAAAACUCGCUCUGUGAUUGCUUCCCAGAAGUUGUUACUGCUACACUGAUAAUUUUUGUUUUUUAUGCUGUCUAGAAAUAUAUGUAUUUUGAAAAGUAUUGAAUUUCCAUUUUUGUU